rnacentral:misc_RNA from 1 species
UCUCUUGAAUACCCUGUUGCUUUGGCGGGCCCACCGGGAAACUCCCGGUCGCCGGGGGGCAUUGCGCCCCCGGGCCCGCGCCCGCCAGAGCGCCUAUGAACCCUAAUGAAGAAGGACUGUCUGAGUCUACGAUAUAAUUAUCAAAACUUUCAACAAUGGAUCUCUUGGUUCCGGCAUCGAUGAAGAACGCAGCGAAAUGCGAUAAGUAAUGUGAAUUGCAGAAUUCCGUGAAUCAUCGAAUCUUUGAACGCACAUUGCGCCCCCUGGCAUUCCGGGGGGCAUGCCUGUCCGAGCGUCAUUUUAGCCCUCAAAACCGGCUUGUGUGUUGGGCGUGGUCCCCCCGGUUUAGGGGGGACCUGCCCGAAAGGCAGCGGCGACGUUCCGCCUAGGUCCUCGAGCGUAUGGGGCUUUGUCACCCGCUCGGGAGGGGCCUACGGGCGUUGGCCAUCCACCAUUUUUUUUUAGGGUGACCUCGGAUGAGGAGGGGAGGGGAACAGG